CCUGUUUAACAAAAACAUGUCUUUUUGAGUUAUUUUUAAAGUCUGACCUGCCCACUGAAUUUUUAAAUGGCCGCAGUAUCCUAACUGUGCAAAGGUAGCAUAAUCAUUAGUYUUUUAAUUGAAGGCUGGUAUGAACGGUUGGACGAGGUAUAAGCUGUUUCAUAUAAAUUUAUAAUAGAAUUUUAUAUUUUAGUCAAAAAGCUAAAAUAUUAUUAAAAGACGAGAAGACCCUAUAAAUCUUUAUAUUUUACUAUAUUUAAAUUUUUUAGAUUUGUUUUAUUUUUAUACGGUGAAAUAUUUUGUUGGGGUGAUGUUAAAAUUUAAUGAACUUUUAAUUUUUUAAAAACAUUAAUUUAUGAGUUAUUGAUCCAUUAUUAGUGAUUAUAAGAUUAAGUUACUUUAGGGAUAACAGCGUAAUUUUUUUGGAGAGUUCAUAUCGAUAAAAAAGUUUGCGACCUCGAUGUUGGAUUAAGAUAUAAUUUUAGGUGUAGCCGCUUAAAU
rnacentral:rRNA from 1 species